UACAUUUUAGUAUAUGAUGUACAAAAGUUUUUGAUUCUUUAGGUAAUAGUCCGAUUCUAUUAAAUGUAA
rnacentral:tRNA from 1 species